CGCGUAGGAAUCUACCUGGUAGUGGGGACAACAUGUGGAAACGCAUGCUAAUACCGCAUACGCCUACGGGGAAACGGGGACCUUCGGCCGUCGCGCUAUCAGAUGAGCCUGCGUUAGAUUAGCUAGUUGGUGAGGUAAAAGCUCACCAAGGCGACGAUCUAUAGCUGGUCUGAGAGGAUGAUCAGCCACACUGGGACUGAGACACGGCCCAGACUCCUACGGGAGGCAGCAGUGGGGAAUAUUGCGCAAUGGGGGAAACCCUGACGCAGCCAUACCGCGUGUGUGAAGAAGGCCUUAGGG
rnacentral:rRNA from 1 species